AUGGAAUUGGCCAAAAAUUGUGAUAAUAAGAAUGAACAGCUGCAGUGUGAUCAUUGUGACACCUUGAAUGAUAAAUACUUUUGCUUUGAAGGCUCUUGCCAGAAGGUUGACAUGGUAUAUUCAAGUCAUAGCUUUUGUAGGGAAGAUUUUACUGACAGUCAAACUGCCAAGACCUUUUUGAGCCAUUUUGAGGACUUCCCUGAUAAUUGUGAAAAUGUAGAAGAAGAUGCUUUUAAAAGCAAAAAGGAGCGGUCCACUUUGUUAGUCAGGAGAUUCUGUAAAAAUGACAGAGAAGUUAAGAAAUCUGUGUAUACCGGAACAAGAGCAAUUGUGAGGACUCUGCCUUCUGGCCACAUUGGGCUAAUUGCAUGGAGUUACAUAGAUCAGAAGAGAAAUGGUCCCUUACUGUCUUGUGGGAGAGUAAUGGAACCCCUGUCAACAGUGGAGAUAAAGCAAGGUGGGAGCCAACGUCUGUCAGAAGCCCAGUGGUAUCCUAUCUACAAUGCAGUGAGAAGAGGAGAAGAAACAGAAAAUACAGUUGGAUCUCUACUCCAUUUCUUCACCAGGCUCCCAGCCUCCGAGACAGCCCAUGGAAGAAUAAGUGUUGGUCCAUGCUUAAAGCAAUGUGUCCAAGACACUGUAUAUGAGUAUCGCGCCACCCUCCAAAGGACUUCAAUAUCGCAGUACAUCACCGGUUCUCUCCUAGAAGCAACCACGUCUUUGGGAGCAAGAAGUGGCCUUCUCAGUACUUUUGGAGGAUCCACUGGACGAAUGAUGCUGAAAGGUAAUGCCUGAAAUUUCACUUUUAACUUUUUAUCUUUGACUAGAAAGAAGGAUC
rnacentral:lncRNA from 1 species